AGGUAAUUUCUAGCUGUAUCACCAUGGGGGCUGGGGAUUGUGGAAGGGAAAUGUAAUCUAUUGCCAAGAGAUAUGCCUGGCACGUAUUCUCAUUCAGGGUUUUAUUGCAUCACUAAAUGAAUAGAAACAUUCAGUACUUGCACAAUGUGUGUGCUUAUGUAUGCAUGUGUAUAUGCUUCUGAUAUUGUACGAAUCCUUGUUUUGGUGC
rnacentral:misc_RNA from 1 species